rnacentral:rRNA from 1 species
CAGUCGCCACGGGAAUACGGAGGGAGCUAGCGUUGUUCGGAAUUACUGGGCGUAAAGCGCGCGUAGGCGGUUACUCAAGUCAGAGGUGAAAGCCCGGGGCUCAACCCCGGAACUGCCUUUGAAACUAGGUAACUAGAAUCUUGGAGAGGGCAGUGGAAUUCCGAGUGUAGAGGUGAAAUUCGUAGAUAUUCGGAAGAACACCAGCGGCGAAGGCGACUGACUGGACAAGUAUUGACGCUGAGGUGCGAAAGCGUGGGGAGCAAACAGGAUUAGAUACCCCUGUAGUCCCUGUCUCUUAUAC